UUUGGAUAAAACGGAGAUGGAGUGGAUAGACCUUGCGUUCUUAUGCAACUGAGUCGAGAAGCGAGUUGUUGCAAAAGCCAAGGCGGAUUCGAUGAGAGCCAUUUCUUCUUCGCUCACGAUUUCGAUGGGGAUGUGAGGAGGAGGUGGAGAAGAGAUGGGUGGGGUUGAAACAGGGGAGGUGGGGGAGUGAGUUGGUGACUCGGGCGAUUCCACGUUCGUUUUUGACCGUUGCGUUUCCAUCGGAGGUGGAGGUGCUUUCGGGUCGGGGGAGAUGUUAACCGCUUUUGUAUUUUCUUUUUUGUUUACUUGGAGUACAAAGGAAGCAAUUGCAGUAUUUUAAUUUAUUGGUCGGAAAUUUAUUUAUUUUUGCAAGAAUCAUUGUUAUUUUCUGAGUGAUCAUAUUAGAUAAAAAUCUCGAUAUACAUAAUAAACACCACAUAAAUCGGAAAUCGAGCUAUCGAUCUGGAAUUAAUUAAAAAAUCAGAAAUUAAUCGGAAGAUUAAUUAUAAUGAAAAUCGAAUAUAUUAAUAUUAAAAUAUUAUUUAAUAAUUAGUUAUUAUUAUAUUGGUUGAUAUAUCUUUAUUAUAUUAUAUAAGUUUUGCGGUUGUUCAUAUUUAAAUGAUAUAUUAUUUUAAUUUUCAUAAAUUAUUAUAUAAAUUUUAUUUAAUAAACAUUAAUCGAAUUUCAAAAAUCAAAUCGAUCAACAAUAUUGUAGAGAUUAAUUGGCUUAAUCAUGAAUUUUUACGACACGAGUACCAUGCAAGGUUGUAAAAAUCGAAACUCGGUUCAACUCGGUUUGGUUUCAGGAAAAUGAGUACUCGGAAUGAGUUAUCGGUAUUUUUUAAUUGAUUUUUCCUCUCAUAUAUAGUUAUAUGCCGAUUAAUAAUAAAACUAUUUAAUAAUAUUAAUAUUUUAAUAACACACUUGAAAUAAUGAAGCUCAAACAAAAGUUACUUGUUUGAUAUUUUUUAACAAAAUAAUCAUUCACAAGUUUUAGUGAUAAGACACUUAUACUUUCUAAUUAAUGUCAAUACUUUGCAAAAAAAAAAAAAAAAAAGGACAUUAUGGUUGAAUUAUAACCCCAAAUAUACUCGUAUCGAUCCCCUCUUCCAUUCUAAAACAGGCUCUGGUAUAGCAAUCUACUAGUUUAUAUAAAUAGCAAUUGGAUACGAUGAAUAAAUUUAGUGGACAUAGCCAGGAUAACUAUCAUAUGAGCACCUAGUUUAAACGAAAACUAAUCUUCUAUGUUGGACCAUUUUCUGUACAAUAACACUUAUUUUACUUAUUUUUGCAACUCCAUAUUGCCAAACUUUAUCCAGCAGUCGGAAUUUCUGAUUCCAAAUCGAGUAUUUGUGUCAUCUGAAUUUCAUGUUCUCAUAAAUCUUACUGAAAUUUAUUAAAAAUGACAAGAUGGACUUCUAACUUAAAAAAUAAAACAUAUAUAAGUGCCAGAGUAAAAUUUUAAUAAGCAAAAUAGUAUAACAAUCAAAAUCACAAACACAACGCAACAUUAGCUCAGAUAAUCCACUAAACCAAAUAAAUUCCUCUCCAUAAUCCAAAAUCUAACAAAACAAAGGCAGAUCAAAAAAGGGGUCCCUCGAAAUUUCAAAUGUCAAACAAAAUCACAUUAAAAAUAUCUUACCGAAGCUGUAAUAUCAGUAACAGACAAGCCUCUCUUCCUCCGAAACCGAUACAACAACGACUCGUUCACUCUAAACUUCUUCUUCUGCUGCUUAUUUUGCCCCCCACAAUCUUCAAUAUCAGAAGCCAACACGUUUCUUUUGGAUAAAACGGAGAUGGAGUGGAUAGACCUUGCGUUCUUAUGCAACUGAGUCGAGAAGCGAGUUGUUGCAAAAGCCAAGGCGGAUUCGAUGAGAGCCAUUUCUUCUUCGCUCACGAUUUCGAUGGGGAUGUGAGGAGGAGGUGGAGAAGAGAUGGGUGGGGUUGAAACAGGGGAGGUGGGGGAGUGAGUUGGUGACUCGGGCGAUUCCACGUUCGUUUUUGACCGUUGCGUUUCCAUCGGAGGUGGAGGUGCUUUCGGGUCGGGGGAGAUGUUAACCGCUUUUGUAUUUUCUUUUUUGUUUACUUGGAGUACAAAGGAAGCAAUUGCAGUAUUUUAA
rnacentral:lncRNA from 1 species